rnacentral:lncRNA from 1 species
ACCGCCAACUUGUUGUCAACAGAUACUUUCGAAAUCUUUUCCUGUUUUUUAUCAAGGUGCUCACGUGAUUUGAUGCAUUUUGCAGUGUAAGACUCGUUUUAUCAAAAUAUAGAUCUUGAUUAUCAGUUAGAUCGUAUUGACUGGGCGCCGCAGCCAUUUUGUCAGGAAUCUGAUUGGUCCAUAGGAGAGGUACGGAAGGGACAUAACUCGUAAUAGCCACAGGUGGCGCUACGAUCGAGCCCAGGAAUUCCAGCCUAGUUCGGCAAGGUUGAAAACUGGACUUUUAAAGUCAGUUAACUCUCUUGCCUCGGGAAGAUGGGCACUUAUUGGAGGAAAUAUGGUAUGCUGCUUCUGGUAUGACUAUGUUGCUCUUAGGUGUGUCAUUAUGUAAUCAGUGAUGCUGGUCGUGAUAUAUGUACAUGUAGGAUCGUGUUUACUUCUGAAGAUCAGACACAUAAUUUUUCAAAAAAUUAUUAGAUUAUCAAAUAUAUUUUGAAUGUCAGUGACCUCAUUUGUCAGUUUCCUUCAGGCAAAUCUACAAAGAAGGAGCUGUAGAUUUAGUACAGAAUCAGAGUUAGAAAUCUCUUUGUGAGCAUGUUAAUGUGUGGCCACAUUGCCAGUGUUAUGUUCUUGAAGGUGACCUGUACUUGUUGAUCUGCUGUCAAAAUCACUGCCAUUUUCCAUACAUCAAAACUAAUUGUAUGUUUUAAUCAAUAUCUUUGUUAAAUAAUGUAUUACAUUUAAAUUACUUGAUAUUGGAUAAGGUUGUUUCAUAGUUGUCACACUCCUGUACUGUUCACGAUCACUCUUCAUGAUGACUUCUGAAUGCUUCUUUUCUUAAACUUCAGGCAUAUCAAUGAUCUGAUAACGUUCAAUAAUGGUCGAAUAGCCAAGUCCCUUUCUCUGAUUUACCCACCUGAACUAGAAAGUGAAGAAUUGCCACUGAUUGGUGAAUAAGAAGGAGAAAUGUGUCAUGCUUCUCAUAAAUCAGUGCCUAAGAGGGUUGUAUGUCAUCACAAAUUUCAAAUGACUGAUUGUAUAAGAAGGAUGAAUGUCCUCUUUCUUCUGAUUCAGUGAAGGAGGACAAAUGUGUCCAUCAACUUCUGAUUCUAUGUGCAAGAAGGACCACUGUGUCUAUCUUCUGAUUCAGUGUAUAAGAAGGUUGAAUGUGGCAGCUCUGAUUCAGUGUAUAAGAAGGUUGAAUGUGGCAGCUCUGAUUCAGUGUAUAAGAAGGUUGAAUGUGGCAGCUCUGAUUCACUGUGUAAAAGGUUGAAUGUGGCAGCCCUGAUUCACUGUAUAAAAGGUUGAAUGUGGCAGCUCUGAUUCACUGUAUAAGAAGGUUGAAUGUGGCAGCUCUGAUUCACUCAAGAAGGUUGAAUGUGGCAGCUCUGAUUCACUGUACAAGAAGGUUGAAUGUGGCAGCUCUGAUUCAGUGUAUAAGAAGGUUGAAUGUGGCAGCUCUGAUUCACUGUAUAAGAAGGUUGAAUGUGGCAGCUCUGAUUCAGUGUAUAAGAAGGUUGAAUGUGGCAGCUCUGAUUCACUGUACAAGAAGGUUGAAUGUGACAGCUCUGAAUCACUGUAUAAGAAGUUGGUUACAGUAAGACUAUUUCUCCAUUGUCUCCCUGUGACAGACAUGAACAUUCCCUGAUUACAGAGCUGGACUUGGGGUAAACCAAUGAUAUGUUUUAGACCUUUACUUGUUUACAUUUACCUGAUAAGGGUUAUUUGUAUAACAUGGUGCUUUUUCAUGUAUGGUGUUAUUACAUCGAUAUGGUUUUGGAUGAUGUUGAUGUUCUUCUACUGGUGUUACAUGCAUCUUCAGUAUCAUUCAAUGAAUAAUUGUUAAUCCUUUGUUCCAUUCUCUCUGACUGCGGAACUGAUGAUCUUGUCAGGCUUGUGGUUAGUGGUGAUAUAUGCUACUCCACUUUUGUUAGGGAUGUUUUCAUCUUUCAAUGAUCCACAAAACUGAUUGUCAGCAUAUGACAUAUCUGAUUAUCCCUAUCAAAAGUUGAGUAGUAUUGUUCGUUAUGUUAUUAUAACAUUCACUUAGAUAUUUCUCCAAAUGUGCACGCUAAAGAAGUACAUUCCUAAUAACAGAUUGUGAUUGUGUAUUUUGAUUUUGUUGUUUUUGAUAUUUCUCCAAAUGUGCAUACUCAAGUAGAUAGUACAUACCUAAUAACAGAUUGUGGUUUUGCAUUUUGAUUUUGUUGUUGUCAGCAAUAUUCCAGCUGUAUCAUAGAGCAGUCUGUAAACAAUCACAUCUUGGUCAGCCUGAAAAGUUGUUGAGAUCAUGUUCAGUAUUCCAUGCCUCUGACUUUUGUCACCACACACCUCUUUCCAUAACCUGCAAGAAGACACGUCCCCCAAUCGAUGAAUGUUAUGUGCGAAAAUACGACAAACCAAUCAGAAUGCGCGUAUGAUUUCAAGUUCUUCGUCAAAGAAUCCCUCAGAAUAUUUUUAAAUUUUACAUAUGUCUUGCAUUUAAAAAUAUACCCAAGACACAGUUAUAUGUGUUCAAUCAUACUGUAAAAUUCUGCAGUCCGGAUGUGCUUUGAAUUGCAUCUGAAAUAUGUAUCAUAUGUGGGGAAAUAUAUGUAAACCAUUACGCAACUAUUUGACAAAUGUUUUAGGUAUGCCCGUUUGCACUCAGACGGAACCCGGUCACAAAAUAGGACAUGAGAGGAGCACGAGUCGCUAUUCUGCUUGUCCCGGAAUAACACGAGUUGGUCACGAAAAUGCCUCUGAGUUACAGUGACAAUGAGUCAAGUCACACAUGAACACCUCCCCACAGUUAGUGGGUGUUUGUUGUUUUACGCUGCACUCAGCAACAUAUUCUAGCUAUAUAAUGGCAGCCUGCAAAUAAUUGAGACUGGACCAGACAAUCCAGUGAUUGAUAUUAUGAGCAAUGCUCCAAGCUGUCGGGGUAAGAUUACAUGCCUUCAACCAAGUCACCAAGCCUGACCACCCAAUCCAUUAAGUAAGCUCUUGUGACUAAUUGUAACCUUAAAUCCCCACUGAUGCCCAGUUAGUAGGCUCUUAUGACAAGGGGCUGCGGGGUAGCCUAGUGGUUACAGCGUUCGCUCAUCACGGCUAAGACCCCGGUUUGAUUCAUCACAUGGGUACAAUGUGUGAAGCCCAUUUCUGGUGUCACCAGCCGUGAUAUUGCCGGAGUAUUGCUAAAAAUGGCAUAAAACCAUACUCACUCACUCACUCUUAUGACCAUCAUGAGGGACUCGAGGCCUACUCUGAUGACCGUGCAUGACCACAGAGGGUUUCUCGUUGACUAUAUCAGUUGUUGCUGUACCUACUGUAUCUACCAGUAUGUUUUGAGGAAUGCUUAUUUCACACAGUGCACUAACUUGAAUGUAUUUGCAUUGUUGAUGAUAUACAUGUUCAGAUGGUACAUCAGCCUGCUACAAUACUAUGCAAUAUAAUAAAAUAAAUCAUUUUUUUUU